CUACGAUAGACUCAUUCUAGCCCACCAGCCUACUCUUCAUGAAAGGAGACCAGGCAAAGUCUGUCAUUCAAGUGUUGUUCCAACACUCAACUUGUAACAUGGUAUACUCUCUGAUUCUGGUGCCAACAACGAAAUGUCACUGUGUUUGUUCAAGGUUUUGUGACUUGGCUGGGUAUGAGGCACAAGGGAUCUUUGGCAACAGAAGGCUGGUGGGAAGGAAAACGGAAGCCAGCUCUUCAGGAACACCCACCAGUGGAAUGGAAGGACCUGAGGUGGAGGGAGAAAAGAGAAGUUUCUGCAUAUCUACACAGAGUGGAUGUCUUUUCUCUUAUAUCUUCUCAAGUCAAACCACCACCUAUAAAUCUCAUCAUGACUCCCUUACAGUGUGCAGUGUAGGAGGUUUCCAGCAGAAAUUGUCACCUGGUGAGAAGCAACAAUUACUUAACUACGAAUAUCAGGUGCUUAAUACAUGUUUGCUGACUGAACAAAUGGUUGUUAUCUUGGAGUCCGGAAAAAAGAUGGAAAAUAAAACAACAAAGGAGAGACCCCUUGGAUUUGCGUGUUACUCCCAGAACAACCUUAGAUGAUUUCCUGUGUGAAGAAUAAAGAGAUGAGCAGUGAAGAUGAGCA
rnacentral:lncRNA from 1 species